AUACAUAUAAAAAUCAAGUUUUGACUUUAGGUACCCAUAUUUUCUUGGAUCCUUUUUGGUUAGUCACAAUGGUUCUUUUUGAAACUCAUAUUUUCUUCACAUUAGAAUUUUCAGAUUUGCUAGAGAAACAUGUAUAGGAUUUGUGUCCUACUUUACCAUAUUUAAAGCAAGUAAUAUUUGAAAACUUGUUGCUUGAUGAGUCCACAAAGAUAUUUUUCAAAAAUUUUUGUUUCUUUAAAGGGUUGUAGCCA
rnacentral:lncRNA from 1 species